CCACGCCCCACCCCAUACCCGCCGCUGCACCACCACCUCCCCUGCUUCCCCCGCGCCGGCGCUGCACCACCACCUCCCCUGCUUCCCCCACGCCGCCGCCGCACCACCACGUCCCCCUGCUUCCCCCACGUCGUCGCCGCACCACCACCUUCCUCUGCUUCCCCCCUGUCGCCGCCACACCACCACCUCCCCUGCUUCCAAAUGCCGCCCGCGCCCGGCCACCGCCCAACCCCACCCCGGCGUUCCUCUCCUAUGGCGCUGCAACACCACCCAGCACCGUGAUCCGUACCUGCCUCUCCUUGCGAAUUCUCCUCCCCAUCCCGAGCUCUCGUCCUCCUAGCCAAGAUCCAUGGCCGUCGCAGCCCACCCCUUGGGCCUAGCCAAUCCCCACUCCCCACCUUCCUUCUCUCCACCAUGGUCUCGCCGCCAUCAGCCCCAGGGCCAGCCAACAACUCUGGCCACGCCCCUGCCAAACAACCACUGGAUCCACUCCGCCACCGAUGCACAUCUCCCCAACUCCCCUCCCCUAGCGUGCUCACCUCCCACCUCGGGGGUCACUGGAUCAGGAUCCAGGCCGGGGGCUCCCCCCAACUACGCAACACCGCCGGAUCGGCCUCCCCGCGCCCCUGAGAUUCCAGAUCGGGCCUCCCCCCAAGGAGUACACCAUGCAUCUCGGGCAGCACGCUCGUGCGGUUCGGCCGUCCCGCAAUGGCCGCUAUCCUCGCGUGUGCGCCCUACUGGCCAUGUCAUGCGCCAUCGGGACCGCGGCUGCCUCCAGUCAUCGGUGCGCUAUCUUCCCCGACGAACAGCCCAUCUGGAAACGAGCUUCCCCUCCUUCCCUUGCAGCCCAUACAUCCGGACUUGCAGUGCGCUGGGCGCGCGAUGCAGUUUGGCGCGCUUGGCCAUGCAGUUGACGGCUCCUGGUGCAGUCCACUACUUUUUUUGGAGGGAGGCGAAGAAGCAAACAAAGAGAUAGAGAAAUGCACUGCACACUCAGACUAAAAAAAUGUUGUUGAUGAUGGUUUGCUAGUUAAUGAAUCAUGCUGUUAAAUGUGUAUUAUGAAGUCCACUAUUUGCACCAAGAAGUUCGGCUGAGCCUGUAUCUCAGCUCACCGGCCAUCUCUCCUGCAGUUUGAUUAUGUAGCAUAGCUUUUUGUUUAGCCGGUGUGCAGUUCGGGAUACAUAGCCGAGCUGUUCAACA